GAAAGGAAUACAAGCAGCAUGUUCAGCUCCGCUAGGGACAUGUUUGGCUGCUGCUGCGUUUGUGUUUGUGUUUGUGAAUGUGAAUGGAACUCUCCAUCUUUCUCUUCUUCCAUCCCAUUAUCUCCCUCGGCCAUGAUACAACAAUGCAUGCCCACCAAAAGGCAUUACAAGAAAAAUGGAUAAAUUAAUUUCUCAAAUCCAUGGUUCCGAUUUUAUAUUCUCCUAUUUCAGAAUGUGAGGUAGCGUUUAUUUUUGGAGACAUGACACAGAGACAUGGAUAGCACAUCUAAAAAGUGUUUGGAAGCAGAGACAUGGACACUAAACAUAUUGUCUCCGAGACCGUUUUUUAUAAUUUUGUGUCCAUUCUUUUACGAAGGAUAAUGAUGGACUCGGAUUUGGAGGAAGGGACACGGACUUUUUUUAUGAUUUUUUUUUUCU